rnacentral:rRNA from 1 species
UACGAAGGGUGCAAACGUUGCUCGGAAUUAUUGGGCGUAAAGCGCACGUAGGCGGCUUAGCAAGUCGGAAGUGAAAGCCCUCGGCUCAACCAAGGAAGUGCUUUCGAAACUGCUGAGCUUGAGUACUUAAGAGGAUCGCGGAAUUCCCGGUGUAGAGGUGAAAUGCGUAGAUAUGCGGAGGAACACCGAUGGCGAAGGCAAUCCCCUGGGCCUGCACUGACGCUCAUGCACGAAAGCGUGGGGAGCAAACAGG